UACAUCACAUUUAUGUAUCAGAGCCCUCUCUUUGGUUUGUAAUAUAAGAAUAUCCUAUGUUAAUUUUUGAUGCAAAUUACAUUUCAGGGUUUUCGUGAUUAGCAGGAAAGGGUUCCUGCUGAUCCAAGCUCUGUUUUAGUCACUGAAGAGACGAUUCUUUGCCUUAAAACGAUUUUUUAAAAUAAUUUCUAGAGAGAAGAAAAACGAGUACACUCAAUUUCCGGAAACCGUGAACAAAUGCUCACUGGAUCCACCCAAACGUCAUGUUCAAGUCCAGCAGUCCAACUGCAGUGUCGAGGCGACUGGGGCUCCCAAUGUUAAAGUUCCCGGCGGACGAUGGUGCUGACUCUCCAAUACUCAAGGGCAAUUAGGGAUGGCAGCAAGAAUUGGCCUUAUUGGCAGAGCUAAAUCCCAAGAAUGAACUAAAUGUAUUUAAGUGUACCUAAUUGCAAAUCCCAAACGCAGUGUAUUGGAAAUGAAAAUAGAAAGAGCCUGUCCAUAUGCAUAAACCAUCAUUAAAGGCAUGUAAAUAUGGAUGAAAUAUAAAAGAAGAAGCCAUUGAAGUUUAUAUCAUGGGUGUUUGCAGUUUGCACUAUGACCCAAUUCAUAUUUGGAGUGUUUGGAAAAAGGAUCUGAGAUCUAUUUCCAUCCACUUUGCAAAAUAAAAGUCGCACAGAUGUUUCUCAGGUGUUGUGAAAUUUCAUUUUCUGAGCAACUACAGUAGUUAAAUCAUUCAGAACCUCCCUUUCCAAACUACAUGGGUUGAGAAGUAUUCGGUGUUUGCAGAUAUUUUGGGUGAGCUUGUAAAGUGUCGAUUACCUGAUGGAACAAUGGUUUCUGCAUCAAUAGAGCUAACCACUAAAAAAUAUAUAAAGAUUGCAAUUUAAAAAUGAACUAAACACCAAAUAUUUCUAAUGAGCAUAUUCCUAGAAUCGAGGAGGAUUUAUUUUGCAUAAGUCUGUCAUUGAGCCAAACAGGAAUGCACACUUGGGAUUGAGAAUGAUGUGGGAGUCAAAUCACUCAUGAUUCAGGCAGCUAUUGUGUAAGCUACAUGACAGGGUCCAAGAAGACAGAUCAAAUCAUAUUUAUAUAAAACUCUCAAUUUGACGCUCUACAUAGAUCAAACAACUUAGAUAAAGUUUCUAUUGCUAAAGUUAUCCUUUCUAGGUCUAUAUAGUAUUUCAACAAUUUAAGAUUAAAUCUCAUAAAUCUAAUUGUCAGACCUUCCUAAAUCUUAUUGAAUUUGGUCAUGACAUUAUUUUAAGAGACAUGUUUAACUUAGUCCACAUUAAACAUGGAGCCUUUUGGACAAUCGCAAACAAAAUAAAACUGAUAUGGAUUUUGGGAAACUUUCUGGUUUCCCCUCCCUUGGUUAUUACUGAGGUGAUUCACAUCAAAUUGAAAAUACAAGUGAUCGAUGAACUUUAUAAGCAGAUGAAGUUUUAAAAUAUUUUUCUCAUUCUCUCUUUCCUGCACUUUUAAGCUGAGUUUUCCUACUGCAACCUUUUCAAUACUCAAAGCAGUGUUUCUACUUUCAAAGUAGCAAAACAGUUCAGCUACUCUUAUCUACUUUAAUUGUGACAGCAGAAAGAAGAACUCAAUCCUUUCAGUUAUCAUAUGACUACGUAGUAAAUAGACUGUAAAAGAGCAACAAUCCACAGCUAAUGCCAUUGGCGCCAAUUAUAGCUCAGUGAGCGGAAGAUUACUGAAGUUCUUUUGGCUCAUUUAUGCAAUCUUAAUCUGGUUAAACUGGUCAUGCAUGUGAACCCUUCUUCAAAGUCACCUCCUAGCUUCAUCCAUUUACAGGUCAUAAUUGAAAAACAUUUUUAUGGAACAAUCCUCUUUUAAAAAUCAAACAUCUCCUCAACUUAUUGCACCCUAUGGUUACCAUGAAACUUUCAGAGUCAUAGGUAUUCUGUGGCAUAAGACCUUAAGACCAAAGUUUCAAUCUUCCUAUUUUAUGUUCCAUGUUUGCUCCAUGCUUCUUAGAAAUAUGUUCUAAUCACAUACAGCACACAUGGGAAUGUGUAGGAAGGAACUGCAGAUGCUG